UACGUAGGAGGCAAGCGUUGUCCGGAAUUACUGGGCGUAAAGCGCGUGUAGGUGGUGGGACAAGUCUGCUGUGAAAGCGCCUGGCUUAACCGGGCGAGGUCGGCGGAAACUGUCCGACUCGAGGACGGUAGAGGGGGGUGGAAUUCCCGGUGUAGUGGUGAAAUGCGUAGAGAUCGGGAGGAACACCUGUGGCGAAGGCGGCCCCCUGG
rnacentral:rRNA from 1 species